rnacentral:misc_RNA from 1 species
UGGAAGUAAAAGUCGUAACAAGGUUUCCGUAGGUGAACCUGCGGAAGGAUCAUUACCGAGUGAGGGCCCUCUGGGUCCAACCUCCCACCCGUGUUUAUUUUACCUUGUUGCUUCGGCGGGCCCGCCUUAACUGGCCGCCGGGGGGCUUACGCCCCCGGGCCCGCGCCCGCCGAAGACACCCUCGAACUCUGUCUGAAGAUUGAAGUCUGAGUGAAAAUAUAAAUUAUUUAAAACUUUCAACAACGGAUCUCUUGGUUCCGGCAUCGAUGAAGAACGCAGCGAAAUGCGAUACGUAAUGUGAAUUGCAAAUUCAGUGAAUCAUCGAGUCUUUGAACGCACAUUGCGCCCCCUGGUAUUCCGGGGGGCAUGCCUGUCCGAGCGUCAUUGCUGCCCUCAAGCCCGGCUUGUGUGUUGGGCCCCGUCCCCCGAUCUCCGGGGGACGGGCCCGAAAGGCAGCGGCGGCACCGCGUCCGGUCCUCGAGCGUAUGGGGCUUUGUCACCCGCUCUGUAGGCCCGGCCGGCGCUUGCCGAUCAACCCAAAUUUUUAUCCAGGUUGACCUCGGAUCAGGUAGGGAUACCCGCUGAACUUAAGCAUAUCAAUAAGCGGAGGA